AGCUCCAAUAGCGUAUAUUAAAGUUGUUGCAGUUAAAAAGCUCGUAGUUGGAUUUCUGAUAUUUCGUUUUGCCUAUCUUGGUCACCACGUGUGGCUGUUAGGUUUUAAAGCGAGUGUCAUCCUCGCCUAUUUAAAUUUGAUAUGUGCGUUCCUGACGGAUCGUUUUCGUGUCAAAUGGGCGUCAUUUACUGUGAAAAAAUUAGAGUGUUCAAAGCAAGUUUAUUUUAAUCUUGAAUACAUUAGCAUGGAAUAAUAAGAUAGGACUUUGGUACUAUUUUGUUGGUUUGCAUACCUUAGUAAUGAUUAACAGGAACAUAUUGGGGAUAUCUGUAUUUUUUAGUCAGAGGUGAAAUUCUUGGAUUUAAGAAAGACAAACUACAGCGAAAGCAUUUAUCAAGGA
rnacentral:rRNA from 1 species